CAAACACGACGUAAACUUCAUCCCCGCAAGAUGCCAUUCUUUAAUUUAAGGUGGCUUAAAAUUCUUUCUUAGAUACUGUAGCAUGACAAGAUCAGUUUUGAAAGACUACAAGUUCCGAUAUUACUCCCACAUGAAAUGUCUUUGUUCAGAUUAACGUGUAUAUUAUUAUAUUCUAUAUUUUUUUACUUCGAGUGAUUGUCUUUGUGCUACAACUUACAGGUAACCGAAGCAACAACAUUUACAGCAAAAUUGUAAGAGCCGUAAACACAUACUAAAGAUUCAGAAAGGAACACUAUAAUGGUAGGAAGCCAAAUAUCGCAUAAUAUUAUGUAGUAUAUAAUUAUUUUGUUUCAGCAAUUCCUGUUCAUAUAUUUCAACACGUACGUGUUCCUUCCUGUUCCUUAAUUAAUUGUUGCAAGUAGAAUAUAUAAAUAUGGAAAUUUGGUAAUUAACUUAUUAAGUGCAUAUUUGAGUCGAAGUUACGUUACCCACAGCGAUAUGCAGAUACUGAGAUAAUAAUAGCCAUGUUUUCUCCAAUGGUUCACGCUCACACGAGACGGUAUGAAUCGCGGAUUUCGUCUUCACACGCUGACACGCGGGACGCACGAAAGUAACCGGACGAAUUCCCAUGUGAACAAAUAAGGAGUCUACGAGUCAACGGAGAAAAGAUGCCCAUCCUACGUCACAUCCGUUCCAGGUUUUAAGUAAAUUCACCUUAUAAUUCAUACUACGUGCUAUCCAAUGUUUGGUCAGUGGUGGAUAAAGACCAUUUCAUAGGAACAGCAACCGCGGCAAUGCAAUUGCCACAAAGUUUUCGCCACAUUUGCCAUUUAUUCAUCCGACACCCGAUCCCAAUGUGUUACUGCUAUUCUCGCAUGUCGUCAUAUCGGCUCAAUUUCUCAAGGCAUUUUGUACGACUUUUAGCCAUAUGCUAAUUGUAUUUAAUUGAGUGCUCUUUGGCGCGAGCAUUAAUAAUCUUAAUAAGUUUUUAGACGUUCUCUGGUUUUUAAAUAUUUAUUAUUACGAGCUUUUACUUUUUUAAUUACAUAUAUUUACUUUUUUAAUUACAUAUAGAUACAAAAUGACAGAAAUAUGACAGUUCCGCCUACAUAUAAGAUUAAUGACUUAAAUUACAUGUAGAUAGAUUCAGAGUUUUUUGCUAAGGGACCGGUCAUAAAGUAACUACUAGGGUGGGCUGGAGUGAUUUGGGAUGGGCCAUGGAAAAUCUUUGGGCAGUUUCGAUGGGCCGCCAAUCUUUUUGUAUGUCCACGGUUGGGCCACGAAACAAAAACCCAUGCAUGUCUACUUCAAAAACUAAGAUACCAAUAAUAAAAGUAAACAAAACUAUCCAAAUUAUCAAAUGCAAAUGAUGCUAUUGAAGCCAGUACUUUGUAAAUACAACGACAAGAAGUGGUCGAAUCACAACAAGUACAACCAACUGGAGAGCAUCUCUGCAGUAUGUCAAUACAGUGCCGUGGAUAUUUACAAUGUUCAUGCCUGCAAGUUUUUAUUAUUAUAAAAGUGUAUUUUCCCAAUUUAGAUUUAGUGGGUCAAAUUCAUAUGAUUGAUAAUAUACGUUAACAUUCAAUCAUUCUUGGGUAAAUUUGUUUUGGCCGUCGUCGUCGCUUUGCCGUCCUACAUUUUAAGGUCUCUAAUGUGUGUGUGUGUGUGAGGGGGGAUAAUAACGAAUAUCAACGAACUGUAUUGGAAUGAAACACUGGCUCUCAAAACUUAAACUCUUGAAAAGGACCGAAACCGCCGAUCCCAAGAAAAUACCAAAAUCGUGGGGCGCGACAGAGCGGCAGCGCUACGCCGACGUUCGUACCGGUUUUGAAGCGCUAUUUUCGAGUUGAAUCCCUCUCAAUCCGAAGCUUCCUUUCAGAAACGUGUUCAUGCUUAUUUUAAGAUUUUUUAAAAUAAUUUCCGGUGAGCCCGCAAUUUGCUGACCACUAGCACAGGCAGAAUUCAUCCCACCUGUUGAUAUAAAGUACUGAAGAGUUGAGACUUCUAAGAACUGGGCUUACCCUGAUCUUGGUUACCACAGGGGUUGGUUAUCACAUUUUCCAAAAUGCGCAGUUCUGAAUGUUAGAUGGGUAGUUGUAAAACCUAGAAUGGCCAGUCCUAAAAUUGAAUUUUGGAACUUUAUAAGAGAAUUAUAUGGAGAUAAAUUGAGCAUUCAUACAGAGAUUUCAGGCAAAAACAAACCAAAUUUCACUCUCAAACAUCAGGAAAUAACCAUUCUGGACUUCUAAAAUUCAAAAACGUUUCCGGGGAGUAUGCUUUCGGAUCCACACAGCUAUUCAGGCAUGCAAUACAUCAUGAGCUCAGCCUCAUAACUCCCUCACAGUCUGUUCUCCUUGUUGAAAUUGGCAGUUAGGAUGACGCCUGGGUUAGCAAGACGUCCAGUUAGUAGAUGUACUUAUGAUGUAUUGAAAUUAUUGUGUAAAAAUUUCUCAAAAGUACCAAAAUUGUUGUACAAUCAAAUAAGUGUUUGACUACAUUGUAAUCGAGUAUCAUCAUGUUUGCACUUAAUUGUAAUGCAUAUAAUUAAAAUAAGCACAAUUCCAGCAUUGAGUCCCAAUACGUGUCUCGAAUUCAGUAUCCCUUUUUGUAACACUCCAUCAGAAUAUGAAUGUGCCUCUGGGGGAUGUUUCAGACGUGAUAAACAUAAUUAUUUCGAAUUUAAUAAUAUAACGACGCACUUAUUUCGCCGAACUUAAUUUAUCAACAUGACACUAGGACUACAAUGACUAUUGCAGUUAUUAUUCUUAAUUAAGUUUGCCCACUGUCGCCGAUAGAGACGGAACUCGUGGUACCAUCACAUAUUAAAUGAUUACUGAAUUCCUUAGCCAACCUACACUAAAUAAGCGAAGCAGAAAGGGGAUGGUCGCAGGAGAAACAAGAGGAUGAUUCGCAUCGGGAAAAGACUUCGAACCGGUUCUGGACGCGGAUGGAACAUGAAACGUAACAAGCAGCGAGAAAAGCAAAAC